rnacentral:rRNA from 1 species
GCUUAGCCCUAAACCUAAAUAAUUUAAUAACAAAAAUAUUUGCCAGAGAACUACUAGCCACCGCUUAAAACUCAAAGGACUUGGCGGUACUUUAUAUCCAUCUAGAGGAGCCUGUUCUAUAAUCGAUAAACCCCGCUCCACCUCACCAUCCCUUGCUAAUUCAGCCUAUAUACCGCCAUCUUCAGCAAACCCUAAAAAGGAGCCAAAGUAAGCACAAGAACAAACAUAAAAACGUUAGGUCAAGGUGUAGCCAAUGAGAUGGGAAGAAAUGGGCUACAUUUUCUUCUAAAAGAACAUCAACGAAACCCUUUAUGAAACUAAAGGAUAAAGGAGGAUUUAGUAGUAAAUUAAGAAUAGAGAGCUUAAUUG